GCCCGUGUGGAUCAAUCGGACCGCGCACUGGACUCACAAUCCAGAGGUCGCAGGUUCGAAUCCCGCGGCGGACG
rfam:Culex pipiens quinquefasciatus supercont3.1062 genomic scaffold, whole genome shotgun sequence.